GUAACAUCAGAAUAUUCAGGUUAAUGUAAUAAUUAAAUACAUUGAUAAUAGCAUAUUCUGAUGUUACAAUUCAAUUGCUUCAAAAUUUGUUAUAAAUGCCCCACUCAUUACUCAUCUUUUCAUCCCCAUCCCCACCAUGUGCCAUGAUUUCACCAUCUUUUCAUCCACAAAGAUUUCGAUUUUACCUAAAUGUCUGAGUAGAGAGGACCGACAUGUUGCUUAUAGUUUUUAAAUGUUUAAUGACCUUAUUAGCCUUUUCUUUCCCUUUUAGGUCAGCUAUGUUAUUGACUUUAAUAUUUGUGAAAAAAAAAUUAAUUACUUUAUUUAAUAUAUUUAAUAGUUCAUUACCAUAAUAUUUGCUUAAAACAAAAUGAAAAAUAUAAAAUCAAAAUUUCUCUUGGACUACAAACAUAAUCAAAU
rnacentral:misc_RNA from 1 species